rnacentral:rRNA from 1 species
UACGGAGGUGGCUAGCGUUGUUCGGAUUUACUGGGCGUAAAGCGCACGUAGGCGGAUUUUUAAGUCAGAGGUGAAAGCCCAAGGCUCAACUUUGGAACUGCCUUUGAUACUGGAAGUCUCGAGCCCGGGAGAGGUGAGUGGAACUGCGAGUGUAGAGGUGAAAUUCGUAGAUAUUCGCAAGAACACCAGUGGCGAAGGCGGCUCACUGGCCCGGAACUGACGCUGAGGUGCGAAAGCGUGGGGAGCAAACAGG